rnacentral:rRNA from 1 species
AUCUUACGGGAGGCAGCAGUGAGGAAUAUUGGUCAAUGGGCGCGAGCCUGAACCAGCCAAGUCGCGUGAGGGAAGACGGUCCUAUGGAUUGUAAACCUCUUUUGUCGGGGAGCAAAAGACGCCACGCGUGGCGUUCCGAGAGUACCCGAAGAAAAAGCAUCGGCUACCUCCGUGCCAGCAGCCGCGGUAAUACGGAGGAUUCGCUCGUUAUCCGGAUUUAUUGGGCUUAUAGGGUGCGCAGGCGGAAGAUCACGUCAGCGG